ensembl:lincRNA
AUGGUGGCCUCAAGAGCCAGAGGCUGGGUCCAAUUGCUGGCCCUCUGUGAGGGUUCCCAGUCCCCACCUUCCAGCCACUCACAGGCUCCUCCUGGCACCUCCCACCCCUGCAGAUGUCCAUGCAUCCACCCAGCCUUCACACUGCCCUUGAGCGGGUGCUGGGGCUGCAGAGAUGGUCACACCCAGCUUCAGCCCUGGAGAAGCUCAGGUAACUACCCACCUUCUAUUGCAUGCCUGGUGCAUGCUAACCAUGCUUUACCUCUGAGAAGCUCACAGACCAACAUUCCUCUGGAGGAGGGAGCAGGUUUUGAUGGCCUAGGUUUGCAGUCUGCAGAGCUAUCUAAAGGGCUGGCAGGAGACUCCUGAAAAGAAACCAGAGAAGCUUGCUGACAAAAGACUGGAAUUCUGGUCAUCUGUAAAUUGAUGAAUGAAUGCUUGGCAUAGACUGAUGAGAAAAAAAAUACCCCAGGACUUGGUUCAAGCCUUCCUGGGACUUACAUGUAAUGGUAUGUAUGUAAUAGUCACAUAUGUAGAGGGGAAAAUGACCUUGACAGGUACUUUAAAGGGGGAAUGAGGUACAUCGAUUGCAGAAACAGCUCUACCUGCCCACCCUUUCCUGUAUCCAAGCCCUUUGCAAAGUGACAUUGCAGUUCCUCCCAUUAAGAGGUGGCUGCAAUUUCCCUACCGUUUGAAUACAGGAUGAUCUGUGACUUGCUUUGUCCAAUAGAGUGCAGAGAAAGUGAUGCCGUGCCAGUUCUGAUUCUAGGCCUCCAGAGGCCUUGCAGGCUACUGCCACCCCGUGAGGAUGUGGCCAGGCAAGCCUGCUGCAGAAAAGAGACCACAGAGAGUACAGCGGAGCCGCAACAGCUGAAGUGUCAUAGACCAGCCAACCCCCAAGCCAACUCAGCAGCGAAAUGUUCAUGCAAGAGCCAGUCCAGCUGAGAUCAGCUAAGCCUGGCCUAAAUUGACAGAACUGCUCAGUCAUCUUACAGACAAACAGAAACCAUGUAUGGUUGCUGUGUUAAGUUUCAGGGUGGUUUUGUUACGCAGCCUUAUUGUGGCAAUACAUGGCAGAUGCAGAGAGAUCCACGCUGUUAUGAGAAUGUAUAAUCAGAGAAUUUGACUUAUCUUGGAGGCCAGGUGGGGAGUCCCUGAAAAAAAUCAAGACUGAGCUAAGCCCUGGUGGAAGAGUAGAUGAGGUGUUAACUAGGUGAAAGGUAGGCAAGCACCUUCCAGCAGAGAGGAUGGUGUGGGUGCAAAUGCACAGAGUGGGAGGUGUGCGGCCCAUUCAGAUGCUGAAAGGGGCCAGUGUGAUGGGCGGCCACAGCAAGAAUGUUGGUUCCCCAUCCCAGGCCCCCAUAAAUAAGCCUUUUCAUUUCCAGAACGUCCCACUUAGCAUGAGCAUUAUUAAUGACGCACGUUCUUUACUGUGGCCAGGGCCCAUGUGUACAUAAGAUGGGCCUUGAGGGCUUCUGCUUUCCUGGGUGCCCGGGAAAAUCAGCAGGUGACCCUAGUGUUAGAACUGAAAGGGCUCUUAGAGGCCGUCCAGUAUAACCCGUCCUUUAACAACUGGGAAACGGAGCCUGGUGAGAGACUGUGACUGGCCUAACGUGUUCUAGGGAGGGCCAGGUAUGUGUGAAACUACUCACUGCUUUUCUUCAAAUUUAAGUCCCUGAAUGACCAGGGUGAGUCUACAGGGCCCAGAUGACUCAAUGAGCAGAUUCAAAGGAAUGUCCAGAGCAGUUGCAGACGAAACCAUUAUAGAGGGGAGGGACAGUUCUGUUUAAAUAUAUCUAUCUACCAUAUGUCAAGUGCUACAUGAGGAGCUUCAUAAAGACCCUUUUAUUUAAUUCUUUUUACAACUCUAUGGGGUAGGUGGCUUUUGUUUUAAUUUUAUUUUAUUAAUUUGAUACACAGGGGAACUAAAAUCCAGAGAGAUGAAAUAAUCUAAGUUUCUACAGCUAACAAGUCACAAGGAUUUCUCUGACUUCAAAGUCCAUCUUUUCUUCACUCCAACAUGCUGCCUUAUAAACCUAAUUCUUUUCUGAUGGAAUUGUUUGAUGUUUUUGUUGACUGUGGGGGAUAUUAGAUGUAGCAGAUAUUUAUUAUUUUUUGGUUAGUCAGCACUCAACCUUGAUCUCUCCUUGGGAGCAAUUUGCCAUUGCAAGCCCUCCUGGGUGAGAGCUAUUCCCGCAAAUUCUUUUCCCCCAUUGGGCUCUGCCUAAGGAAUAGGCAACCAGGCAGAAGACAGCAGUUACACAAAACAUUCUGAAAUUCAUUCCAGUUGGUUUCUGUGAUCCCAUGCCUAGAAAAUGUACACAAUUCACUGAGCAGCAUAGCUCGCCCUAGGCCCUUGUACUUGGUGGAAGUCAGCCUUUGUAUUUCUCUCAAAGUGGUUUAAUUCUUAGUGGAUGAACUAUCAGUGUAUAAUUGGGAGUAGGUGGUGGAGUGUUUCUAUCUAAAGAAGCCCAAACUGUUGUGAGAUCUUCAGUUUCCAGGGUUAGAUCAAUGCAGCUUCACUCAGCUCAGUGGAGCCUAGCACAAUUUAGCACAAUUAAAUUCAGCUCGGUGGACCUCAGCUCAUGUUACCUUAGCUGGGCUCAGCUCAACUCAGCUCAGAGCUCACAUCAGCUCAGCUUAGCUCAACAUGCUGUCUUUAACACCGCCCAGUUUGGCUCAAUUUAACACCGCCCAACAGUACUCACCUUACUCAGUUCAACCCUACUCAACCUAAUGGAGCCCAGUUGGCCACAGCUUUGUUCAGUCAAUCACAGAGGCAUUUAUUGAGCACCAAAGCUGGACACUCUGAAGGCUGUUUCAUCCAGGAACUCAUAAUUUAGUCACUGAAAUAGUUUGCAUAUAAGGAAGAAUGUUUAUAGUAAUCCAUAAGCGAAGACUAUGAAAGCUGGAUGGAAGAGACAUCUACUCAUCACUGAAGAUGUUGAGAAAGCUUCUUGAAAGUCACGUUAUUUCAGGUAAAAUUUAAUUUUGACUAAUGAUGAAGAGCUGGGGCAAGAAGGCAGUGCAGAAAGAGGAAAUAUCCUGAUAUUAGGUUGGAGCAAAAGUAAUUGUGGCGGUUUUUGCCAUCACUUUCAAUGGCAAAAACUGCUGCAAUUACUUUUACAUCAACCCAGUUAAUGCCUGGAAGUGGUGGAGUAAAUGGAAUGACUGGGGAGUGGGUGUAGAGUGAGUGUCACAGGAGAAAACACUCAAAGGCGGGAAGGGGUGAGAUUCAAGGCAGCUCUGAGUGGCAUGCUCAGGAGUUUGGACUUUUUCUGUCAGAAUAGUAAUCUACUAGGCAAUUUCAUUUUAUUCUUACAAAAAUCCUGGGAACCAUUUAGGUUAGGGAUGCUAAUUCCCAUUUUACAGAUGAAGAAAUGGAGGCUUAGAGAAGAAGUUAAUGCCUGUCCAGGUAGAGGAUAGUCGAGUUGGAAAUUAAACCCCUUGGAGAGAGCAGUAUCCUUUUUAUUUUUAUAUCCUUGGGCCCACAGCUGGUAUUCAAGAGCUGGAGUAGGGUGUGAUUCAAGCUAUAUUUUCAUACCGUAGAUUUCCAGAGAGCAGAGGAGGGAUAGGAAGUGGUUGACACAGGAAUAUAGUUAGAAGAGAAUGAGAAGAGAAUGAGUAUCUGGCAAAAGGUAGGUGCCUCAGGGAUUACGGAGGGUAAGUGUUUGCUAAACACAUGUCUUCAAGUUCUCACAAAGUGUCUUGCAGUAUCUAGACCACAUUUAAUUGAGUUCUAAGAUCAUGGUCUCAGUUUUCCAAGCCUCUUACCCUUCUAGAACCUCACAUUUUUCAUCUGGAGAAAUGAAGUUUAUAAUACAACUCCCCUAAUGAUUGUUAAAGUGUAAAUGAGAUGCAAGUGAUUAAAAAAUAAAAUGCUUUCAAACCUAAGAAAAAUAUAGAGUAUUGUAACAAAUACCCAUGUACACACUAUGUAGAAUAAAUAAAUAUUAUUGUUUCACUAAAUUGGCUUUGGUUUUUUGUUUGCUUUGAAAACAAAAUCUUUGACAGAUUGUUGUGGCAUUUGUAUCCCUCUCCAAAUCUAUUCUCC